rnacentral:rRNA from 1 species
UACGUAGGGUGCGAGCGUUGUCCGGAAUCACUGGGCUUAAAGCGUGUGUAGGCGGGUGCCUAAGUACCUUGUGAAAUCCCACGGCUCAACCGUGGAACUGCUGGGUAUACUGGGUGCCUUGGGUCAUCUAGGGGCUGCCGGAACAAAUGGUGGAGCGGUGAAAUGCGUAGAUAUCAUUUGGAACGCCAACGGCGAAAGCAGGCAGCUGGGGAUGCACCGACGCUGAGACACGAAAGCCAGGGGAGCGAACGGG